rnacentral:rRNA from 12 species
AAGGAAGGCAGCAGGCGCGUAAAUUACCCAAUCCCAACUCGGGGAGGUAGCGACAAUAAAUACCUUUGGCCGACUCUCGAUGAGUCGACCAUCAGGAAUGAGAUCAUUCCAAAUCCCUCGUUCGAGGAUCCAUUAUUGGCUAAGCCUGGUGCCAGCAUCCGCGGUAAUUCCAGCAAUAAUAGCGUAUAUUAAAGUUGCUGCAGUUAAAAAGCUCGUAGUUGAAUCCGAUUACCACCACCGCGCGGCGGAACCGAGUUUUUGGCGGGGGUCGUCUUCGAUCCCUGCCGGAGCUCCUGCCGCGCUCCGGGUGAUGCGGCGAGGUUGCACGACGUUUUAUGUUGCCAUAUAUAUUCAAACACAUAUCUGGCGGCAUCCAACGGCGCGUGUCCCCGUCGCUCCUUAUUACUGUGAAAAAAUCGAAGCGUUCAAAGCACAUUCAUAAAAAUACCGCGACGUGUGCUUUCCCUGAUGUUUCAUUUCGGAGGCAUGGCCGUCGCUGUGUGCGAUCGAUAAAGCACGGAAUAAUAACCGAGAAAACCUCAGCCCAGCGGCGGCGGCGGCCGUUCAUCGUCCGCCGCCGCUGCAGCGCGCAGUUUGUCGUUGGCGGCGACCUUGAUUAUUGGUUACCAAAAGUGGCCGGUAGUGUACCAUCGUUCGUGCGAAACGACGACGUAUGUUUCUGGCGGCGCUCUGAGAGUUGAUUGACAGGAGCAGUCGGGGGUGACCGUAUUCCGUCGCCAGAGGUGAAAUUCGUUGACCGACGGAAGACGAACGAAGGCGAAGGCAUUCACCAAGGAUGUUUUCUUUAAUCAAGAACGAAAGUUAGGGGAGCGAAGAUGAUUAGAUACCAUC